AUUGAACGCUGGCGGCAUGCCUUACACAUGCAAGUCGAACGGCAGCGCGGACUUCGGUCUGGCGGCGAGUGGCGAACGGGUGAGUAAUACAUCGGAACGUACCCUGUUGUGGGGGAUAACUAGUCGAAAGAUUAGCUAAUACCGCAUACGACCUGAGGGUGAAAGUGGGGGACCGCAAGGCCUCACGCAGCAGGAGCGGCCGAUGUCUGAUUAGCUAGUUGGUGGGGUAAAGGCCCACCAAGGCGACGAUCAGUAGCUGGUCUGAGAGGACGAUCAGCCACACUGGGACUGAGACACGGCCCAGACUCCUACGGGAGGCAGCAGUGGGGAAUUUUGGACAAUGGGGGCAACCCUGAUCCAGCAAUGCCGCGUGUGUGAAGAAGGCCUUCGGGUUGUAAAGCACUUUUGUCCGGAAAGAAAUCGCGCUGGUUAAUACCUGGCGUGGAUGACGGUACCGGAAGAAUAAGCACCGGCUAACUACGUGCCAGCAGCCGCCGCGG
rnacentral:rRNA from 1 species